CCUACGGGGUGCAGCAGUGAGGAAUAUUGGUCAAUGGUCGGGAGACUGAACCAGCCAAGCCGCGUGAGGGAUGAAGGUACAGAGUAUCGUAAACCUCUUUUGUCAGGGAACAAAGGCGGGGACGUGUCCCCGGAUGAGUGUACCUGAAGAAAAAGCAUCGGCUAACUCCGUGCCAGCAGCCGCGGUAAUACGGAGGAUGCGAGCGUUAUCCGGAUUUAUGGGGUUUAAAGGGUGCGCAGGCGGUCUGUUAAGUCAGCGGUCAAAGCCCGGGGCUCAACCCCGGCCCGCCGUUGAAACUGGCAGUCUCGAGUUGGAGAGAAGUAUGCGGAAUGCGCGGUGUAGCGGUGAAAUGCAUAGAUAUCGCGCAGAACUCCGAUUGCGAAGGCAGCAUGCCGGCUCCACACUGACGCUGAGGCACGAAAGCGUGGGUAUCGAACAGGAUUAGAUACCCUUGUAGUC
rnacentral:rRNA from 1 species